AGCAGUGAUCUUCCUUCUAGAGGCUUGUUGGAACUCCAAACACAUACCCCUGACAGAUACAACAGGGAUUAAUGAGCCAUGACCAGAAGUUUGAUUUUUCUGUCAAGUGCUCCCAUCCGUCUUUAAUAAACAGAAGAACAACAUAAACUCCAUUGCCUGCUUUCCACUGCUGAAACUGAGCUGGCUGUUCCUGGUACCAUGUGUGUUGAGCUGAGUUAUGAUUCUAAAUGACUUGACAAACGCUUUUACAAGCCCCUUUGGUCUGCUACUCUGGUGACUGGCUUUGCUCCCCAAGUUCCAUUUCUCUGCCUCUGUUCAACGUGGGCAGCUCAGUGCUUUGCCAGUGGAAACCGUCAAAUGUAAUAUCACAUUUACAACUAAAUGACUUCAAUUUAGUGUCACUGGUGCACUAUCUGUGGUGUAAAACUGCCAAAAUACCCACUGUUUUCCCUUUAAGCCAUGCUGUGUGCUUUUUUGCAGAAGGCUGUCUCCUGCGAGGACCAGAAGUUGAGCCAAGGCACAUGGAACUUACAAUAGCAGAUGGUAAGAACCAGGGCAGAAGGAGAACUCCUGAAGCCUCCGAAGGAAGGAAAUCAUUACAGGGCCCUACAGAAGUAGGUCAUGUGCUACAGCUGCUCAUAGUUUAAGAGGAAGAAACAUGGGACCUCAAACCUGGAACACGACUCUUUCAAAAUGCUUGUGAGCAACCCAAGAAAAACAUCCUCCUGAGGCUUAUCUAAUAACCAUGAUCUCUAAUCGUCUCAAUGUGUGCUCAUGUUUCCUUAGGAGUUUGCACCCACUUCUCAGAGCUAACGAGAUGCCGAAACAGAACACAGAAAAAAGUAAUGAAGGAGAUUUAAUAGUUUGUGUUAAAGCUAAUAUGGUCCAUUAGCAGCUGUCAUUUUUAUAAACAAUGAGGAUACGUUACCCUCUUCUUUGGUGUAAAGUCAUUCCAUGCAGGACCUGUAAACAUUCAGUAAUGAUCUGUAGAACAUGCAUGAACGACAAUUAAAGCGCCACUUGAAAAGUCUGUUUUCCUCACAUAUUUGUUUUCUUGCUAAAUAAACUUGUAAAGUUCA